CUAGGUUGCUUACUUACACUAAAAUUAGAACAAUACAGAGAAGAUUAUUAGCAUAGCGCCUGGGCAAGGAUGACAUGCAAACAUAUGAUGUGUUAAGUAUUUCU
ensembl:snRNA U6 U6 spliceosomal RNA